AACGAACGCUGGCGGCGUGCCUAAGACAUGCAAGUCGUGCGAGAAAGGGACUUCGGUCCUGAGUAAAGCGGCGCACGGGUGAGUAACGCGUGGGUAACCUACCUCGAAGUUGGGAAUAACCCGGGGAAACCUGGGCUAAUGCCGGAUGAGCCCACGAGAUCUUUGAUCAUGUGGGAAAGGUGGCCUCUGCUUGCAAGCUACCGCUUCGAGACGGGCCCGCGUCCCAUUAGCUAGUUGGUGAGGUAACGGCUCACCAAGGCUCCGAUGGGUAGCUGGUCUGAGAGGACGAUCAGCCACACUGGAACUGAGACACGGUCCAGACUCCUACGGGAGGCUG
rnacentral:rRNA from 1 species